UUUAAGUCUAAUUUACUUAACAAAGUGCACCAACGAGAAGUUUACAAGCAAAGUCCAACGACGAAAAUUACGAGUGAAGAACGUUUAUCAGGUGGCAUAUCAGAAUUUUGUAAAAUUUGAACGAUUUGGAGCAACUGAUGCAAUUGUUCUAAACUUUCUACAAAUUUGAUUGGUUAUAAAUAACAUUUCUUAUA